AUGGAGUUUGAGAGACAGCUAAGAUCAUGCAUGUACCCAAAACUAACAGAAGUAGAGCUUUCAACUCUUCCUUCCCACCCCAUGUCCAGAAGCCUGAGAGAAGAAAUGGAAACAGAAGACCACAUGGAGAAGAGUAGUAAUGUCUCAUUGAGAGUACAGCCAGCUCUGGGUAACCCCACCAGCAAGAAGCCAAGAAGUGUGUACCUUCAAUCCAGGCUUCUGUGGACUCUGACUCUCAUUAUGGGCCUCUUGCAUUAUACCUUCCUUACUGGAGGAUUCUACUCAGUCCUGUUUAUUGGCUCAGCUGCCUACAAACUUAUGUUUUGUAUUCUAGUUAAGUUUUGUGUGAUAUGA
rnacentral:lncRNA from 1 species